UAAGUCUGAUGUGAAAGCCCACGGCUCAACCGUGGAGGGUCAUUGGAAACUGGGAGACUUGAGUGCAGGAGAGAAAAGUGGAAUUCCACGUGUAGCGGUGAAAUGCGUAGAGAUGUGGAGGAACACCAGUGGCGAAGGCGGCUUUUUGGCCUGUAACUGACGCUGAGGCGCGAAAGCGUGGGGAGCAAACAGGAUUAGAUACCCUGGUAGUCCACGCCGUAAACGAUGAGUGCUAGGUGUUGGGGGGUUCCACCCUCAGUGCUGAAGUUAACACAUUAAGCACUCCGCCUGGGGAGUACGACCGCAAGGUUGAAACUCAAAGGAAUUGACGGGGGCCCGCACAAGCAGUGGAGCAUGUGGUUUAAUUCGAAGCAACGCGAAGAACCUUACCAGGUCUUGACAUCCUCUGACCACUCUAGAGAUAGAGCUUUCCCCUUCGGGGGACAGAGUGACAGGUGGUGCAUGGUUGUCGUCAGCUCGUGUCGUGAGAUGUUGGGUUAAGUCCCGCAACGAGCGCAACCCUUGACCUUAGUUGCCAGCAUUCAGUUGGGCACUCUAAGGUGACUGCCGGUGACAAACCGGAGGAAGGUGGGGAUGACGUCAAAUCAUCAUGCCCCUUAUGACCUGGGCUACACACGUGCUACAAUGGAUGGUACAAAGGGUUGCGAAGCCGCGAGGCCAAGCCAAUCCCAAAAAGCCAUUCUCAGUUCGGAUUGUAGGCUGCAACUCGCCUACAUGAAGCCGGAAUU
rnacentral:rRNA from 1 species